GAGUUUGAUCCUGGCUCAGGAUGAACGCUAGCGGCAGGCCUAAUACAUGCAAGUCGAACGGUGUAGCAAUACAUAGUGGCGCACGGGUGCGUAACACGUAUGCAACCUACCUUAUACUGGGGGAUAGCCUUUGGAAACGGAGAUUAAUACCCCAUAGUACAUUUGAUUGGCAUCAAUUAAAUGUUAAAGAUUUAUCGGUAUAAGCUGGGCAUGCGUCCAAUUAGUUAGUUGGUGAGGUAAUGGCUCACCAAGACUUUGAUUGGUAGGGGAACUGAGAGGUUAAUCCCCCACACUGGCACUGAGAUACGGGCCAGACUCCUACGGGAGGCAGCAGUAGGGAAUAUUGGGCAAUGGAGGCAACUCUGACCCAGCCAUGCCGCGUGCAGGAAGAAGGCGUUAUGCGUUGUAAACUGCUUUUAUAUAGGAAGAAAUAGUCCUUGCGAGGAAAGUUGACGGUACUAUAUGAAUAAGCACCGGCUAACUCCGUGCCAGCAGCCGCGGUAAUACGGAGGGUGCAAGCGUUGUCCGGAUUUAUUGGGUUUAAAGGGUGCGUAGGCGGUUUAUUAAGUCAGUGGUGAAAGACGGUCGCUNCACAAUUGCAGUGCCAUUGAUACUGGUAGACUUGAGUGGGAUUGAGGUAGCUGGAAUGG
rnacentral:rRNA from 1 species